rnacentral:lncRNA from 1 species
CAUAAUAACAUGCUCCUCAUUUCCAUUUGAACUCUGACCCUCACUGUCCUUGCAUGCAGAUUUCAACGACAGCCUGUCGGAGCCAAUUUAGUCCUUUCCCGGUGCACUCUGUGACAUCCUUCCAGGCUCUGCCUGCUUCCAAAGGCAGGUGUACACUGCUACCUCUUUGUUAUUGCAAUUCCCUGCUUCCAGGCGGCAAGCUCUAUACUGAGUACUAAGUGCUGCAUAGCAUGUUACCCCAAAAUAGAGGUUAAAGGGACAAACAUCAGCUUAGUCUGUGGGUCAGGAAUUGGGCGCCCUUAGCUGGGUCCACUGGCUGGGGGUCUUUCUCAAGGCCUCAGUGACUGAGGUUACCACCAGGGCCCUUUGUGACUCACUCAUGUGUCAGUAGGCAGUCCCCUGCCACAUGGGUCUCUCCACUCCACGGUCUACAACACCACAACUUCCUGCUCCCAGACCAACGGCUCCAGAGUCCAAAACACUGCCAGCAAGACAGAGGUCAUGGACAUUUGCCACCUGCUCUUGGAAGUGACAUCUCAUCACUUGUGCUGAAUUCCAUUUUGUUGGAAGCAGGUCUUUCAUUCUGGCUCCACCUGAAAGUGGCACAUGAGGGCACAAAGACCAGGUGGCCAGGUCAUCAGAAGCCAUCUCAAGGGUUUCCCACCCCAGGAGCCAUCCAGAGAUGCUGGGACCACAUAAGAAGGACCAGGCUCGAGCCCCUACCUGCCCGUGGAUGGAACCCGGCUGGCCUCGUCCUCCUGCCACCCGGACCAAAGGAAACUUCCCCGUCUAUGCACCGGGCUGUGAUACCAUCUUCGGAGACUGUCGGCUCCAAUGUUACAAUCACAGCAAUAUUAGAAUAACAACUUAAAACCAAUCAUUUUUAUGGGGACACACACAGUAUAAAAAGACCUGCCUAUCUGAAGACACAUAUAACAUCAGCAGCUAUUGCCCCAUAAAGCUGUCAGUUAGAGAAACAUCUCUGGGAGUCCUUGAACACUAUCACCCAAGUUUAACGGGGGGAAGAGAGAGAGAGAGAGGGAGAGAGAGGGGUAGGGAAGUAGGGCUUUACAAAUUGCUUUCCAUGGAGGCUUGCAAAAAAAACCCCAAGAGAUUGAUACCAUAGGGAACCAAUGGAGGACAUGAAGUGACCUCUGUGGUCCACGGCACAUAUCUUCUGAAGUGACGGAGGAGGAGUGGAAGAUAGCGUGGGCAGGGGAACGCUCGUCUGUGUGCCUGGACAACUCCUGCUGGCUCCCAGGCAAGAUGAGCUCCUUGACUCAGACCCUUCAAUGCAAUGUGGGUGAGGUUUCCGUUAUGAAGCAUUUCCAGGAAACUUGCAUAGGGGACUGAAGCCUUGAGACAGAGCGGAGGAGGAGCCAUCAGAGGUGUUGCAUCAGGUGAGGUUCUCUGGAGCAAACCUUGGGCCCAGGCCUCCGGGAGAGCCCAGGAGGCGGUGUAGGCAACACCUCCUUGUCCUGAUCCCGAGGAAAGGCAGCUGGGGUGAGUAUUUAUUCCCAUGCGCCUGUCGGCUCCUGGCUUUUGGGCCACCCGGGCAGGACACUGGGGAAGCGGAUGGAGAAGACACAGAUGGAGGCUGGACAGCGGGUGCGUGGCCCCUCAGCCGGACAGUGCCUGGCUCUC